CAAUUACAAUAAGAAGCCACAAUUGCAGACCAAUGUAUACUUUGGACAGGGUUUUGUUCAGAUCAGAUGCCAUUGUUCACCAACACCAAGAUGCCUGAAACAUAAAAUAAAUGAGCAGAAUUAAGGAGUGUGGGUGUUUAUGAAGAAGAAAUGGGUAAACCCCAGAGGAAAGAAUAUUGAGAGGCGAGAAAAGGGGGUGUUGGACUA